ensembl:misc_RNA Metazoa_SRP Metazoan signal recognition particle RNA
GCCGGGUGUGGUGGUGUGCACCUGUGGUCCCCGCUGCAUGGGAAGCUGAGGUAGGAGGAUCGUUUGAGCCCAGGAUCUCAAGGCUGCAGUGAACUGUGUUCAUGCCACUGUACUCCAGCCUGGGCAACAGAACGAGACCCUGUCUCAA